GCUGCUGUGGCUCAGUUGGUAGAGCAGCUGAUUCGUAAUCAGCAGGUCAGCGGUUCAAAUCCGCUCAGCAGCUCCA
rnacentral:tRNA from 1 species